GAUGAAGAACGUAGCGAAAUGAGAUACUUGGUGUGAAUUGCAGAAUCCCGUGAACCAUCGAGUCUUUGAACGCAAGUUGCGCCUCAAGCCAUUAGGUUGAGGGCACGUCUGCCUGGGCGUCACAUAUCGUUGCCUGAUGCCAGUUUCCUCGUGAUGGGUGACUGUGCAGGGCGAAUGAUGGCUUCCCGUGAGCAUUGUUGCCUCAUGGUUGGUUGAAAAUUGAGUCCUUGGUAGGGAGCGCCGUGAUAGAUGGUGGUUGAGUGACGAACGAGACCCAAUCAUGUGAGACCCCUACCGAAUUUGGCCUUCAUGACCCACAUGCGUCUUUGGAACGCUCAUGACGAGACCUCCGGUCAGGCGGGGCUACCCGCUGAGUUUAAGCAUAUCAAUAAGCGGAGGA
rnacentral:misc_RNA from 1 species